rnacentral:tRNA from 1 species
GAGAAGCUACACUAGACCUGCUAAUUCUUAAAUCUGGUAAUAACCCACCAGGCUCCUCU